rnacentral:rRNA from 1 species
ACGCUGGCGGCAGGCCUAACACAUGCUAGUCGAGCGGUAGAGAGAAGCUUGCUUCUCUUGAGAGCGGCGGACGGGUGAGUAAUGCCUAGGAAUCUGCCUGGUAGUGGGGGAUAACGUCCGGAAACGGACGCUAAUACCGCAUACGUCCUACGGGAGAAAGCAGGGGACCUUCGGGCCUUGCGCUAUCAGAUGAGCCUAGGUCGGAUUAGCUAGUUGGUGGGGUAAUGGCUCACCAAGGCGACGAUCCGUAACUGGUCUGAGAGGAUGAUCAGUCACACUGGAACUGAGACACGGUCCAGACUCCUACGGGAGGCAGCAGUGGGGAAUAUUGGACAAUGGGCGAAAGCCUGAUCCAGCCAUGCCGCGUGUGUGAAGAAGGUCUUCGGAUUGUAAAGCACUUUAAGUUGGGAGGAAGGGCAGUAAAUUAAUACUUUGCUGUUUUGACGUUACCGACAGAAUAAGCACCGGCUAACUCUGUGCCAGCAGCCGCGGUAAUACAGAGGGUGCAAGCGUUAAUCGGAAUUACUGGGCGUAAAGCGCGCGUAGGUGGUUCGUUAAGUUGGAUGUGAAAUCCCCGGGCUCAACCUGGGAACUGCAUUCAAAACUGACGAGCUAGAGUAUGGUAGAGGGUGGUGGAAUUUCCUGUGUAGCGGUGAAAUGCGUAGAUAUAGGAAGGAACACCAGUGGCGAAGGCGACCACCUGGACUGAUACUGACACUGAGGUGCGAAAGCGUGGGGAGCAAACAGGA